rnacentral:rRNA from 1 species
AGCGAACGCUAGCGGCGGGCCUAACACAUGCAAGUCGAGCGGGGCACUUCGGUGCUUUAGCGGCGAACGGGUGAGUAACACGUAGGUAAUGUAUCCUCUGGUGGGGAAUAACCGUGGGAAACCAUGGCUAAUACCGCAUAUCGCGCUUCGGCGUGAAAGCCUUCGGGCGCCAGUUGAGCAGCCUGCGUCCCAUUAUUUAGUCCUAGUUGGUAGGGUAAUGGCCUACCAAGGGUACGAUGGGUAGCUGGUCUGAGAGGAUGAUCAGCCACACUGGGACUGAGACACGGCCCAGACUCCUACGGGAGGCAGCAGUGGGGAAUAUUGCACAAUGGGCGCAAGCCUGAUGCAGCAACGCCGCGUGCGGGAUGACGGCCUUCGGGUUGUAAACCGCUUUUAGUAAGGAAGAAGGGGAGCUUGCUCCUUGACGGUACUUGCAGAAAAAGGACCGGCUAACUACGUGCCAGCCGCCGCAGUAACAC